UCCUCUGUAGUUCAGUCGGUAGAACGGCGGACGUUAAUCCGUAUGUCACUGGUUCGAGUCCAGUCAGAGGAGCCA
rnacentral:tRNA from 1 species